CGACGGUAGGAACGGCCUCAUAAAGCAUUAUGGGGAAGUGAUCUCUCUCUUUCCGGUUGGUACUCCAUCAAGUGAGGCAUCAUGGGAGCGUACAAGUACAUGCAGGAGCUGUGGAGGAAGAAGCAGUCGGACGUGAUGAGGUUUCUGCUGCGCGUGCGGUGCUGGCAGUACCGCCAGCUGUCGGGCCUCCACCGGGCCCCGAGGCCCACCAGACCCGAUAAAGCCCGCCGGCUGGGAUA